rnacentral:lncRNA from 1 species
UAUGGGUUAAGCCAUACGCAAUAUAAGGAUACAGGUUACUUUGUCUAUAAUUCAUAGUUCUAUUUUCUUCAAUAACCAAACAUGCUAAUUUUGUGAAAUUCUUUUACCCUUCUCUUUUAUCUGUUAAGUUUUUCUAGGGAUAAUUAGGGAACUCACACUAAAGCUGCUUUGAAAGGCUUAGCGCAUUUUGCAUCUCUGCCUCGUUUACUUUGUUUUAAAAGUGUAUAUCUUGCUUUAUUAUGUUUGCUGAUAGGAAUAAUUUAGGGACUAAUAUAAUGUUUAAAAAAGAGUAUGGCGUGCGUAGAGAGAGAGAGAGAGUCUUGAUACCGUAUGCAGCUGUCUAGUAUAAAUUGAACUGUGCAGCAUUUCAAUCUACUGUAUAGAUAUAGAUGAUUACAUUGGAUAAUUUUUUCAAUGGAGAAUCUUGUUUCUGUUUUUGUGAUCUUUUUUCAAUCAAGGAAUCGAUCCUCGAGAUCACUUAAACUUUGAAAAUUAUCUUGGAUCAGUCCUUCUAAUUUUAAUUUAAUGGCUAUUAUAUGUUAGUUGAAAAGCAUGCCACACCAUUCAUUUCAUGUUUUGGCUAAUGGAUUAAAUCCUGGAUAUCAAUACAGCGUAUUAAAAUAAGAAAGAAUAUUAUCAACUGAUGAACCGCCAAUGCAGAAUAAAUUCGAAUGCUACACAAUGGUGCCUAGGCUUACCCAUAGCUAUUGAUAAUACACGUUAAAAUCUGCAGUUGUAAACCAAAAUAAAGUUAUUGCAUUGCAUAAUUAAGAAAUCCAGGCAUCCAAAGGGAAGAAAAGAAAUCGACAUUAUUGUUGGUUAGUCUUAUGUCAUGUAUGUUUAAUUAGGUACAAUUUGAUAGUAAAUAAGUGAAAACUCCUCGUCUUUGAAAAUGAUAUGCAUAUUUGUUUCCGGUUGAACUUUUGCAGAAAAUAUAAAAGAAUCAGUUGAUUCUGAUAUGAUAGAAUAUUUUAUGGAGUUUGGAGGAAAUACAUUUUGUAUGCAGUUUAAAGGAAUCUAUAACAACCUUCACUUAAAGUGGCGAAAGAAUCUCUACUAUUUUGCUAGAAUGAUAGUUAUGAUAUGAGCAGCUGCUAGUUAUGAUGAUAAAUAACUUAUGUUAUGCUUAUGGUUUGCUUCUUAUCAUUGAUCAUUGAUAAAUAUUAAGAGUUUCCAAAGUCUUGAUGUUAACUCGUUGGAUAUAACCAGACUAGUCUGCGCGAUGAAAGUGGUACUUAGUAAUAUAGUUUUCUUGGGACUUGUACUCACUACCUCUCAUCAGCAUAUGUACUAAGCGACUCUGUCCAUAAAGGCUUAGACAUAUUGAAAUAUAUUAUCUAGAGUCUCUUUUCUUUAAUAUGUUUCUAUGUAUAUAUGCAGAAACUUGUGUAGAAGAAUUCUUUCUUUAAGUACUCUACUCUCAAUUUUUCAAGGGACCACCUCAGCUUCUCCAAAGGCAAGAAUGAACAGAGAGGACUGCAAAUUGGAAGCUCUUCUCUUCUCGAGGUAAACAAAUUCAGGAAAAUUGUGUGUAAUGUUAUUCAUCUGGACAAACUGUCAUUUGAUAAGCGUUGAAUUGUUUUCUAUUUUUUAUGUUCCAAGUCUUCCUUCUGUUAUCGUAAAAAUGAACUUUUGAUUGAUGAUAUGUGAGAUUUAUAAGUUGUUUUAUGUUUCCAUAUCAAACCAUUACUGCUACAACCAUGUCAUGACUUUCAUAUCAUGUCUCUUUGAAAACUUAGCAGGGGCAGGGGCAGCGGCAGAGGCAGGAUUUGAAAAAUGCUAAAAAGUCACAUAUAGGCAUCAAAUCCAUGAACCAUUUUCUGAGCUCCCUUUGUAAGUUGUCUCUCCACUAGAAGCUUCCCUUGUGUUAAUGAGGUUACAACAAUAACAUAUCCAAUGUAAUCCCACAAAGUGGGGUCUAGGGUGUGUAGGUGUAGGCAGUGGCGGAGCGACAUGUAUUCAAGGAAAAUUACAUUGUGUAGUUAGAUAAAAGAUACAUACUAUAUUGACUCCCCUUGCCUUCUACGUGGUUUUACUCCUUUAUAUUUGAUAAAGAUCCUGGCUCCGCCACUGGGUGUACGCAAACCUUACCCCUACCUAGGAGGUACAGAGACUAUUUCCAACAGACCCUUGACUCGAGAUUAAACAUCAUUAUGUAUACAUUAAAAAAUAUUCACCUACACACGGGGUAACUUACUAGAAUGUGAAACAAAAGGUAAUGUACUUAUCCUUUGGACUAUGACUGCUACUUCUCUCUUUGGACAUACAGUUUAGAGCUAGUACCAUCCUCUAAUUAUCCUCUACUGUGUUAUUUGCAAAUGAUAUAUUCUCCACUUUAAAGAAGAGAACAUGUGCUCUUGUUCUUUCUUGUACUUCCAUUUCCUUUUUGAGGUUAACUUAAUUUUUACUUUGAAAAAACAAGAUGAAACUCACAAAUAAAGGAAGAUAAGAGCAUUUAGAAUCAAUCAUUUAGGCAAUGAUUGGCUAAAAUUUGAUUUAAAAAAAAAAAAAAGAUAGAAAUGACCACAGAAUGAUAUUCUCUGUAAGGUAAAGGGAUAAUAUAAAGUUGGAUUCUGGGGAAUGGAAUUUUAGAAUCUUAACUCAAAACUGAAGCCAUUAGUCGUACUCGUUUACAAGGUCAAGAAUUUCUUAGUCGAUAUUUCACAUUCGAAUGAAAUGGACCUGAAUAAAAUUAAUCGAAAACAUAGUCGUAGGAUGAAUACUUAUUCGUGUUCAUAUUAUGCGAUUCCAACUAAUGCAGAAAUAAGAAUAGUUGAUUGCUUGUUACUUAGUAGUAAUAUAUGUUUAGAUGCUCCUAAACAAUCAACAACAUGCAUAUAAUCUUUGAUUUUAUCCUCCAAUAUAAUUAGCCAAACAUUUUUAGUGCUUUGAGAUAUAUCUAUCUUUGUUUUGCUUAUGCUAGAAAAGAGGGAAAAAAAGAACAUAAAGGUAGAAUAAUCAAGGUCUGCUGGUCACAGGCAUAUGGUGUUGCUUUGACAAGGAAACUGUGACAGAAAAUGGAGUCUUGACAAAAAAAACUAUUUAUUUAUAAUUUUAGUUUUUCUAUUAAAGUUGUUGUCAACUGAUCAGGAGGUCACGGGUUCAAGCUGUGGAAAUAGCUUUUUGCUGAAACGUGCGUAAGGCAGAGUACAAUAAACCUUUGUGGUUCGGCCCUUCUCCGGCACAUAGCCGAAACUUUAGUACACGGGGCUGCUCUUUAUGCUUAUAUAUCUCAUAGUGUAAGUGUAAGAUUUCAAUCCUACAGAAAAAUGGAGUCUUGACCUAACUCUAAGGGGUCGUUUGGUAGGGAAACAAGUUAUCCCCGGAUUAGAGUAGCUAUUCCGGGAUUAGUUAUCCCACUCUCAAGAAGGAAUAAAAAUAACACUACAAUCCCGGGAUGAGUUAUUCCAUGAAUUUUAUCCCAACCAACCAUGGGAUAAGUGUACAGGAAAAUCCAUCUAUCUUAUAUUUGUGUGGUUAAGCUUUACUUGUUUUCACUAAAUAGAUUCUUUGAGACCAUAUAUUCUAUUAGAGCUAGUAGCACUUCAUUAUGUUUGCUUAAUGCACCCCUUUUCUUUAGAUUUAGAUUCCUACCCAGUCUUCAGUACUCGUUUUGAAUUUCCGAAUAAGGAAAAUUUAUUCAUUUACGGGUGGAAGGAUUCUAUCUAUCUCACCACAACCUUUGAUGGUACGGGUUCACCACCUUUAGAAGCCCACUUGUAUUAUGUAGGUGUCACUUCAAUUCAAGCCAAAGACCCUACCUUAAAACUUCAUGGGAAAGUCUAAAGGAAGGGAGGAAAUUAAGGUCUUUGUGAGAAUUGAACUAUGCACUUUAAGUUAAGAGCCAAAUGCACCUUUAUGCAUAAAUCAAAUAUUAUAAGAAUCUCAGGUUCAAAUAUCAGCAGGUGUCGCGAAGUACUUAAUCAUGACACAUGGCAGGUACUGACAAUAACGAACUAACGAGUCUGGUAAUUAGAAUGAGUACAGUCUAAAUUGCUUAACAAGGAUCCAUCAAGGAGUGUGUCACAACUCACAUGUCGAAUUAACUAGUCUAAAAAAUGGAUGGUCUUAAGCGCGCAAUCUAUACCCGGCUGGCUAUCAGGGCAAUUGUUCGGCCCCGUGAGUUGAGGAAACAAUACUAGCUAGGUGAUUUCUUAAUGUACCUAUUCUUAUCGGAAAUAACAAGUUUCUAUAGAAUUAGUCAAGAUACGUGCAAUCUAAUGCGGAUGCUACAAGUAGAGAUAAUAGGUAUUCUGUAAAACUAAUCGAGGUUCGUGUAAUCUGAUCCAGCAUUGAGAAUAUAUAUAUAUAUAUGUUAUCAUUUGAUACUCAUUGCUACACAAUUAGGACCCUCUAAUCGUUUAUGCUAUUGGAACUUAAGAGUGUUGGUCCAUAUUAUUUUAACUUGAUUAUCAUUCAAAAAGAACAAAGUUUUGCACAUGGCAAGUUUCAAUUUGUGUCUCUAAACUUGAUCAAAUCAGUGCUUUGGAAUCAAAUUCUCAACAAAACGUUGGGUUUCUCUGCAAUUUUGAUAUUCUAAUACUGGUGACACACUCUCAUGCAUUUACUCGAUCUUAGGAACUAAGUUACAUACUAAUUCAAGUGUUCUUUUUUUUUUUUUUUUCUUAUAAUCAUGGUGUUUAGACCAGUUUGUUUUUACCUGAACUAUUUUGAUGAUAUCGGGUAGCUCGAACAAAUGUGAAGAAAUCACUUUGUGAUUUUUACAACCAAUGGGAAUUGAAUUGAAAUUUCAUAGUUUUCAACCCACUUUGAAUACUUUCAACAAUAGAUAACGAUGAGACUUGUAUUAGGACUUUCACAUGCUUUGCUUCUAUAAUGAAUUGUAUGAUCACCUCAUCUAAAGUUUAAACUGCUAAAAGGGAUACAUAUUUUAUUUAGCAAUUGAUUAUAUUAGGUCCAUAACAGUAUCUAUAAGCAAGUCUUUGGACAUAAUUACCUGAUACGUGUGCUGAUGAAACUAAUUGAAAUCAUAUCCAAACAUCAUAUCCAAUUUUGGGGUAGAGAUUGAUUUAAGGGGCUGAAAAAUCCAUUGUAGACUCAUAACUUACACCAUCAAAAAGAAGAUGAAAUUGUACCAUGAGUAUUUGCUUUGGUGUUGUUACACAUAAUCUUUUAUUAGGUCCAACUUUAUAGAGAACAGAUAAUUCAUCGAAUUAGUAUAUAACAAUAACUACGCUUCAAUCUCAUAUAAGUUCAUCAAGUAAUAAGUAUAGAGAACUUAAAUUAUCAGGUUCUAAUUUUUCUUUACGUACCAUACUAGACGAUCCAAAUAUUGGAGUACAAAUGUUCGGGGGCACACAUAUUGGGGUGAUCAUUUGCACUUUUAUUCACUAUUUUGUGUUGGCCUUUAAUUGGUGCUACUCAUAAUAAGAAAUAAUUUUUUUGACGGGUAUAAAUUUAUAUUUUUGAAUCAUAACAUUUCACAAGAUUAUCAGUCUGACCAAAGAAUAAGAUAAAAAGAAGAGUUCCCGCCUACGGCUACAUGCCCCUUAAGAGCUAUAGCUGGAAUCGAGCUCACUACAUAGGCAGAGGGGAACUUUCCUAAAAAGCCUAAUAGCACGAAGCAUAUAGAUCCACCCGAUCGAUGAACACGCGAAUUGAACUCGCCCAUCCUUUUGGGCACAGGGAUGCGAGAACUAAUAUGAGUAAUCGGCCGCUUUUUUUGAAUUUGCCUCAAGCCCCAACCCUACCGUCUAAAAGCCAUCUGUAUAGUGCAGGGGCACUCACAUUUUUUUUGCUAACUCUUCACUUUCAUUUCAAAUGCUCGAACGAGACUUCAAUUUUUAAAAAAUUUUUGUCUCAUUAAACAUAAAUUCAAUUGCUAAAGGACAAAACUUUAGGGGAUCGUUGGGUAGAGUGUAUAAGAAUAAUGUAAAAUAUGGUAUAUUGGUAAUGCUUUUGUCAACUAUGCUUGCAUUAGUUAUGCUUGUAUUUUUCUUUUGCAGUGUUUGAUUUGAUAUAUUAAAAAUAGUAUGAAUCGCAUAAUUCUAAAAAAAAAAUACAAAAAUACCUUCCAUAUAGUAUAUUGGAAAGGAUGCAGAAAAAAAUUCGAGGGAUAAUCUUGUCUAUUUAUUGCAUUCAAUUUCUAAAUAAGUUAUGUUCCACUAAAGAUAAAUUCAAUCAAAACUUAAAACGUUUUUUUCCCCAUUCGUCUGAAUGCGUUUUCCUUUCUGCUGGCAAAUUUUCAUUUUCCAACAUUACCGUAGUAAAUAAACUUUAUUGCAACUUUUAAUUUUCUGCUUUUUGUAGUAAAUUUGGCUAAACUGCUUUAAUUCAUGUUUCUACUAUCUUCUGAGUUCUUCUACCUUGUUUGGAUGUUUUUUAGUUGCGACAUAUUAUUUCAUAAUGUAUCAUAUCAUAUCAUAAUGAAUCAUGCUAUUUUGAUAAUAAAUAUAACAUUUGAAUAAAUUGUAUCAUUUCAUAUCAACAUCAUGCACCAACAGGCUCGCUUUGGAGGUGUUGUGUGAUAAGAAGGUGCCGCCCAAGCUUAAAUGCAAAUUCUACAGGGUGGCAGUCCGUCCGGCCAUGUUGUAUGGAGCGGAGUGUUGGCUAGUUAAGAACUCCCACAUUCAAAAAAUGAAGGUGGCGGAAAUGCGAAUGUUGCGUUGAAUGUGUGGGCUGACUAGGGGGGAUAGAGUUCGGAAUGAGACUAUCAGGCAGAAGGUUGGUGUGACUUCAGUGGAGAAUAAGAUGCGGGAAGUCCGAUUGAGAUGGUUCGGACACGUGAUGAGAAGGGGCAUGAAUGUCCCGGUUCGUAGGUGUGAGAGGCUAGCUUUGGAUGGUUUUAGGCGGGGUAGGGGUAGACCGAAGAAGUACUGGGGAGAGGUGAUUAGGCGGGACAUGGAGCAGUUACAGCUCACUGAGGACAUGACCCUAGAUAGGAAAAUUUGGAGGACGCGAAUUAGGGCAGAAGGCUAGGGUCAGUUUGGGUCGCUAGUGUAGGGCAUUACUUGGUGGGGGAAUUAUUCUUGUUAUGAUACCUUGUUUCAUGCUUUAUUACGAAUCUGUUUACUUUCUCUGUUUACUAUUACUUGUGGGUGUCGUAUUUAUGUUAUGUCAUCUUGUUCCAUGUUUUACUAUGAAUUUGUUUAUUAUUCCGUAUCUCGAGCCGGGGGUCUAUCGGAAACAACCUUUCUACUUCUUUAGAGGUAGAGGUAUGGUCUGCGUACAUCUUACCCUCUCUAGACUUCACUAUGUGGGAAUACACUAAGUUUGUUGUUGUUGUAUCAUGCACCAACAAUAUGAAGAAUAAGCUUAUAAUGUUACAAAAAAAAAAAAAAAAAAGGUAGGAUAAAAGGUAAAGUUAUAAUAAACAAAAAGUAUGGUAAAGAGAAAAAUAAAAUUAAAAUAAAAAGUAUGAUUGAGAUUUUAGAAAAAUAAAGUUAGAAACAAGAUCACAAUUACCAAAUUGAUCGUUACAGAUAGUACUGUUCUUCAUUUCAUAUUAAUAAAAUUUAACAAUACUAAUAAAAUUCAAAAAAUAAUUAAAUACUAUAGCUCAACCAUCCAUCCACAAACAUGUAGUUAGAAAACAUGGUACCUGCUCUUACCAAAAAAAAAAACAUGGUACCUGCCACAAUUGAACUUAUCUACCAAUAAUGCAAUUAUUUGCGUGUGUAGAUAAACAAAAGAUAUACUGUAUGCAAUACCUCGUUCCUAUCAACGAAUAGGAACAUAGUUACUUCCUCCGUUUAAAAUAACUGUCCCAUUCUUUUUCAAUAAUUAAUUUAAUUAAUUUUUAAAAUUAAAUUAAAUGAAAUUAAUUAUUAAAACUUAAAUAUGCAAAAAUCAUAUGAAAAGUAUAAUAAAUUAAAAGUAUCCUCAUACCAAUAUAAUGUAAAGGCCAAACCCAUCGCCAGCCCCCUGAUUUGACACCAUCUUUCACUUAGACAUCUCAAGUGGAUAAUGUUCAUUUUUGACACCUCAACCAGUUAUUAACUGUAUCAUUUUGACACUUUUUUUUACAAUCAACUGAUUUUAUAAAGUGUGUAAUACACACGUUUGCUGACAUGGCAUACCACCAGUUAAAAAAAACAUGUGGCGUUCUUGUUUAAAAUAAUAAUUUUAAAUAAAUUAUAAUUUAAAAAAUUAAUUUUUAAAUAAUUAACUUUAAUUUUAAAUAAAAAAUCAAUAAAUAAAUAACCCCCACCAUCACCAUCUUCUCCAAGUACCCCCACCCCACCACCACCACAAGAUUGCUGUCACCCCACUACCACCCCAAGGUUGCUGCAGCAACCCCCUUCCCCAUAAACUAAUGCUGCGGAUUAUGGUCAUAAGUAAUUGUGAUUGCAAUAGCAAAAUUUCCUUACUUUUCUCUUGAUUGAAAUUUUCUGCAACAACAAAUCAUCAUGAAGGCGUCGGUGACUAAUUUUCAACAAAAAUAAUUUUCAAUGAAUUCGACCGUCAUUGAUGACCAACACUAAUUGUCAAUGAAUUUGCCAUUGGUGAUCAAAAAAAAUAAUUUUGAGUCUAGAAUUUUUUUUCUUUUAUGAUGAAAAGAUGAUUUUUUUUAAUCAAAAAAUUAAAAAAUAAUAGUGUUGAGAGAGUGGGACUAUAACUAUUGAGAUUUGAAGAACUUAUUUGAGUUUAAGGUUGAUGCAAAGGUGGGGAACUGGUGAAAAAGUAUGAAAAAUGAUUGGAGUAAUUUAGGAGAAGAAGAAGAAGAAGAAGAGGAAAAAAAUAAAAAUCGACUAAAUUUCAUCAUUCACGCGCCUAUAGAGAGUGUAAUACACUCUCUUUGUCAUGUCAGCAAAAAAGUGUCAAAAUGACAUAUUUAUAGCUACUUGAGGUGUCAAAAAUGAACAUCGUUCACUUGAGGUGUCUAAGUGAAAGAUCGUGUCAAGUUUAGAAAGCAAUCAAUGGAUUUGGCCUAAUGUGAAAAUUACUUCUUAGAUAUUGGUAAAAAUCCAUAUUACUCUAUUUGACUUUCAAGUGAAAGUUUGUGAUAAGUAUUUUAAAAUGGAGAGUAGCUACUUUUAUUUGUUCAUUAUUUUAAAAGUAGAUUUUUAUUUUUACUUGCGACUUUUAACGUAUCAAGAAAAAUAUAAUUAUUUUUUCAAAUUUUACCUUUUAAGUUAAUUACUUAUUGCCCAAACUAUUUUUUUUCAAGACCUAAUACUGACCAUGAUCAACUAAAAAAAAUAAUGUGGCAAACUGAUCAUGUCAAUUAUUAUACUAUAUUUUAGUAAUUGUGUCAAAUUCAAAUUGCCACUAGCUAGUAAAAAAAGAAGGGAGAGAAUAUUAUACUGUGAAUAUUGAAAAUAUGGAGUUUGAAAAAAUGUACAACUUCUAGUUAAGUCCCAUUAUUGUUCUUUCAUUUCUUCAACCAUUAGCUAUAGCUCAUGAAACAUGCACCACCAAAGAUUGUUUGUGGCAGUGGAGUGAUAAGUAUUUUUUUAUUUUUAUUUUUAAUCAGAAGUCUCGUAUUUGAAUUGUGGGUAUAGAAUUAUUUUAGAUAGAAAAUGCUUUGCCUUUCUAUGCGAAUUCGAAUUAGUUGAACUUAAUGAACAUCGGACACGCUGGACGGAAAAUCAAAAACAAAAAAGAGAAAAGCUUAUGAAACACAAAAUUAAAACGUAUAUAUGAAAUUGACUAAAUUAAGAGUUUCUUUUUUCCUAAUUAUGACCUGUACUUACAUAGAUGAGCUAGCAAGCACAACUAUAGUAUGCAUGUAUUUAACACGCAAUAGACUUAUAAAUUGGUUUAACUAACUUAUAAAAGUAUUUUUUAGUUAUUUAUGUAUUUGAUAUUAUUUAAAAGUGUUUAUGAGUUUAAAUAAGUCAAAGUAUAAGUUUAACUUUUUCUAAACUGUAUUUUUUUGUUUUGAGCAGAGGCGGAGUCAGGAUUUCAACUGAGGGGUUCAAUAUUCAAAGAAAACUCAGUCGAAGAGGGUUCAACACCUACUAUAACCACAUAAAAAAAUAAUUUUAAUCAUAUA